rnacentral:rRNA from 1 species
GACGAACGCUGUGUGCGUGCUUAACACAUGCAAGUCGAACGGAAAGGCCCUGCUUUUGUGGGGUGCUCGAGUGGCGAACGGGUGAGUAACACGUGAGUAACCUGCCCUUGACUUUGGGAUAACUUCAGGAAACUGGGGCUAAUACCGGAUAGGAGCUCCUGCUGCAUGGUGGGGGUUGGAAAGUUUCGGCGGUUGGGGAUGGACUCGCGGCUUAUCAGCUUGUUGGUGGGGUAGUGGCUUACCAAGGCUUUGACGGGUAGCCGGCCUGAGAGGGUGACCGGCCACAUUGGGACUGAGAUACGGCCCAGACUCCUACGGGAGGCAGCAGUGGGGAAUAUUGCACAAUGGGCGGAAGCCUGAUGCAGCAACGCCGCGUGCGGGAUGACGGCCUUCGGGUUGUAAACCGCUUUCGCCUGUGACGAAGCGUGAGUGACGGUAAUGGGUAAAGAAGCACCGGCUAACUACGUGCCAGCAGCCGCGGUGAUACGUAGGGUGCGAGCGUUGUCCGGAUUUAUUGGGCGUAAAGGGCUCGUAGGUGGUUGAUCGCGUCGGAAGUGUAAUCUUGGGGCUUAACCCUGAGCGUGCUUUCGAUACGGGUUGACUUGAGGAAGGUAGGGGAGAAUGGAAUUCCUGGUGGAGCGGUGGAAUGCGCAGAUAUCAGGAGGAACACCAGUGGCGAAGGCGGUUCUCUGGGCCUUUCCUGACGCUGAGGAGCGAAAGCGUGGGGAGCGAACAGGCUUAGAUACCCUGGUAGUCCACGCUGUAAACGGUGGGUACUAGGUGUGGGGUCCAUUCCACGGGUUCCGUGCCGUAGCUAACGCUUUAAGUACCCCGCCUGGGGAGUACGGCCGCAAGGCUAAAACUCAAAGGAAUUGACGGGGCCCCGCACAAGCGGCGGAGCAUGCGGAUUAAUUCGAUGCAACGCGUAGAACCUUACCUGGGUUUGACAUGGAUCGGGAGUGCUCAGAGAUGGGUGUGCCUCUUUUGGGGUCGGUUCACAGGUGGUGCAUGCCUGUCGUCAGCUCGUGUCGUGAGAUGUUGGGUUGAGUCCCGCAACGAGCGCAACCCUUGUUCACUGUUGCCAGCACGUUAUGGUGGGGACUCAGUGGAGACCGCCGGGGUCAACUCGGAGGAAGGUGGGGAUGACGUCAAGUCAUCAUGCCCCUUAUGUCCAGGGCUUCACGCAUGCUACAAUGGCUGGUACAGAGAGUGGCGAGCCUGUGAGGGUGAGCGAAUCUCGGAAAGCCGGUCUCAGUUCGGAUUGGGGUCUGCAACUCGACCUCAUGAAGUCGGAGUCGCUAGUAAUCGCAGAUCAGCAACGCUGCGGUGAAUACGUUCCCGGG